CCUAACACAUGCAAGUCGAACGGUAACAGGAAGAAGCUUGCUUCUUUGCUGACGAGUGGCGGACGGGUGAGUAAUGUCUGGGAAACUGCCUGAUGGAGGGGGAUAACUACUGGAAACGGUAGCUAAUACCGCAUAACGUCGCAAGACCAAAGAGGGGGACCUUCGGGCCUCUUGCCAUCGGAUGUGCCCAGAUGGGAUUAGCUAGUAGGUGGGGUAACGGCUCACCUAGGCGACGAUCCCUAGCUGGUCUGAGAGGAUGACCAGCCACACUGGAACUGAGACACGGUCCAGACUCCUACGGGAGGCAGCAGUGGGGAAUAUUGCACAAUGGGCGCAAGCCUGAUGCAGCCAUGCCGCGUGUAUGAAGAAGGCCUUCGGGUUGUAAAGUACUCUCAGCGGGGAGGAAGGGAGUAAAGUUAAUACCUUUGCUCAUUGACGUUGCCCGCAGAAGAAGCACCGGCUAACUCCGUGCCAGCAGCCGCGGUAAUACGGAGGGUGCAAGCGUUAAUCGGAAUUACUGGGCGUAAAG
rnacentral:rRNA from 1 species